UACGGAGGGUGCGAGCGUUGUCCGGAAUCACUGGGCGUAAAGGGCGCGUAGGUGGCGCGGGCAGUCAACGGUGAAAGCUCGGGGCUCAACCCCGAGUCGGCCGUCGAUACUCCCGUGCUUGAGCACUGUAGAGGCAGAUGGAAUUCCGGGUGUAGCGGUGGAAUGCGUAGAGAUCCGGAAGAACACCGGUGGCGAAGGCGGUCUGCUGGGCAGUUGCUGACACUGAGGCGCGACAGCGUGGG
rnacentral:rRNA from 1 species